rnacentral:sRNA from 1 species
UAGGAGCGAGUCUCUUCUUGUCCGGCGC